GGACGGCACCCCGAAGCAAUGUAUUCUACUCAUGUGCUCAUCGUUAUGUUCUUGCCAGUUAUUUUGCUAUCUCUUCCAGGAGAAUAUGCAGGAGUAGAUGCGGAGGCUAGAACGAAUGUUUUGCAGUGUGACAAAACAAAAACUCAAUGCGAAUACCCUAGAGACUGCCAAUGCGAUGGCCGAUUACGUUAUGGAGAGCAAUGGGUAAACAUGUAUUUCUUCGAUAAAAACACGGGUCAGUGUGUCGGAGAUGCAUAUGACAACAACUGCAACGCAUUUGAAUCACAGAGUGCCUGCCAGGCAGCCUGCAUGGUACAAGCUUGACGAAGGAAAUAAUC